CCAAUCCCGUUCCUCUGCUCGUCUCCUCCCCUCCCGCUCCCUUGCGUGUGCCGCGGCGGCCGGCGCCGUCCUGACCCGCUGCCCCCCGCCUCGAGCUCCAGAUCCUCCAGGCGUUGUAGCCCAGCAACGCCACCUCCACCUCGUGUCGUCGGCGCCGUGGACUCCGGAAGCAGCGCCGCCUUAUCGUCGCCAUCACCGGGAGGAAGUGAAGCAGCAGAAGGUUGAGGUCGAGGCAGCAGCGGCGGUGCUGGCUGCGCGGCGCGGACACGAAGGAGGAGGCGCGCCUGGCCGAGGUCGGGCGGGAGGAGGCCGCGCGGCAGCGGCGGCGGACGCGGUCCUCGGGGAGCUUCUCGUGACGCAGCAGGAGGUUGAGGUCGAGGCAACGACAGUGGUGCUGGCCACGACGGACGGCCGGACGCGGCAGCGCGGAGGUGGAGGCUCAGCGAGACGAGCGGAUGCGGCGGCACCGGCUCGCCGGACGGCCGGCCGCGACGCUGGUGGAGGCUCACCGGACGGCCAGACGCGGCGGCGAGCCAGUGGAGUUCCUGGUGGUAGUGCGGCAUGUCAUGGAGAGAAGGUCGUCCCCAACAACCUGGUGCUAAAGAUCUUCUCCGGUUAGUUGAGAUCUUGACGAAGGUGCUUGCUGGACAAUAUCAUGGUUCUGAAGCUCUACAUAGGUUCGUAUUGCAUCAAAUUGGGGAGACGAUGGGAAGGAGUGGAGAGGCCGUCGGCGGUGGGGCCUUCACGUUGGAAUUGGGGAGCAGGAGAGGCUAGCCGGAUGGGAAGGAGUGGAGAGGCCAGAGCUGUGGAGAGGCUAGCCGCGCGAAGAAGCAGCGAGGAGGAGGGAGCCGGAGCUGCGCCCGUCGUCGUCCAUUGGGAAACGGUGCAGUGUGGGAAGCAACUAGAGCAGAGAAGCACGGUUGUCCUCCUCAUCUCUUCUGAUUGGCUUCCCUAAGACGUUCUUCAGGCUCGUGGUUGGGCUUGGUGGCCAAGCAAGGUGGCAUCACUGCCUGUAGGUCUCCAGCAGGGCAUAUGAUGUGGAGGACAGUGGGUUGCCUGCUGCGCCGUUUCUGCUGGAGAGGAUCGACGAGGAGAUGCCAUGGAAGAUGUACUUCGUCUCCAGGUCAAGGGAGAGAUGGAAGGCAACCAUAUCUAAAUUUGUUGUGUUUUUCUGAAUUUUCUUCGUGGGAUUUCAGUUGCAGCGACCAAGAAAAGGACCUCUGGUAAAUCUCCUCUCCAUUUUGUUUUUAUUUCCAAUAAUGCUCGAGCUGGCAUUUCUGAUCUCUUUGGUUGCUGUUGGCUGCACCGAGGCGGAUCAUAUUAAGUGAUGUAAGAUCGAGACCAUACAGAUGAAAUGGUGAUUGUAGGAGAAAUACUCGAAUUGGCUCCUGAAGUCCAGUGGGAGGCGUCCAGGCUCACGGCAUCCAGGCACUUGUGCCUCAUCGGCUGCAGCGUUGACCAUGGCUGCCCGUGUGUGCUAUUCUCCGUAUUUGUCGUGGUACAAGAUUGUUCAUUGGAGGGGCAAGGGGCAGAGAAUGAUGUAUGGACAUCUAGCCAUGAUGAUGGUGUAUUGUAAGAUGAAUUAGAACCGUGUCUUUGGUGCUGGAGGUACAAAUUUGGCCCAGGUCAGGUAGAAGAUUGGAUUAGAUGAUGAUGUAUGGGUAGUCUGAUGCUGAUGUAUUGGAAGAUGCAUCAGAGCUCUUCUCUUUGGUGCUGGAGGAAAUGUAGUAGUGCCUUUGAUAUUGCCUGCAGAGCAGGAUGCCAGAGUGCGCAAGGCAUUCGCAGCUUGCAGUCUGGCAUAAUAUAUUGGUCCGCUGUAAUUUGCCAUAUUGGUUCCCCAGAUCUGUUUCUGUUUGUGCAGAUUUUAGUGUGGAAGAAGCACAUGCCUGUACGAGCUUCGCUCGUGCUAUUUUGAUUCGGUACGUUCCUUUUGUUGAACACCUGAAUUUCUUUCUUUUUCUAUCUUGUGUUGUUAAGAUGAAGAAAAUAAAUAGAAGAACCAAUUGCGGUGGUGGUUUUCAAUUGAAACUUAGCACGUGAGGUACAGAUCUGGAAACAUCUACUUUUGAUAAUCUGCCUUUGGGAUUCUUUUGCCCUCUAAGUUAUGUAUGAGGUGGCCAACUUUCAUCCUAUAUUUUCCUGUGAUAUUAAUAGGAGUGCAUCUACAAUUUUCAGCCAAAAACUUGUGGCUCCGCUUGGUUUGUACUCUUAUUUUGGGAGUCAGAUCGUCAAUAUCUCCAUCACUGCCAUAACCGCAGACCAAAACCGAGAGAUUACCUGCACGGGAACCACUGAUCGGUCUGAGGGUGUACAACCCCACGACCGUCAUCGGAAGCAUGACAUGGCACGGGAAGAGGCAACCAAAACGAAGUCGCGGCUAAUGUCUCGAGCAUCAGGAGGAAGGACUGUCGCUGUAGCGAUGAUGGUUAUACUCCUCUGCGAUCCAAGGCUUGCGGAGGCACCGUGUGUGUUCGUCGGUCAGAUCAUGGCAGCGCGUGGGAGUAGGUAGACUUAGCAAAAGCAAGGAAUCCACGUCAGCGUCCUCACCUCCUCUGCACAUCUCGAGGAUGUGUUCGAAAGAAGGUGCUAGGCCAUCAUAUUGUAUUUUCUGCACAACCACAAACUAUCGGUUUUGUUUUCGUUCAGCUCAAUGCCUGUUCUCGUCCAAGCAUACGCAUAAUGUGGGAAGGAUCGUUCCAUGUAGAAACUGAAGAAAGGAGGAAUUUUGACAAAUUAAAAAAAAGAACUACUGAUGAUAAGGACGGCAUAAGUUGGUUCCUAAGUUCAGAAGAAGCGGGAUUUAGUACCUUUAUUGCAAAAUUUUAGUUAAAUAUGUUAUGUUCGUAAGCAUGGAUAAGUUAAGAUAGAAACCCCACUUUUUUCUGAAGUUAGUCAAAAUGCUAUAAGGCACUAAGUCCUGCUCCCUCAGAAGUUAGUUCAAAAAUUAGUUUCUUAUGUGUACAUGUUUGUGAAGGAAAAAUAUAAGAAACACUGAUCCUUGUGAAGUUAGUUAAAUAGA